UGCCAGCCGCCGCGGUAAUACGGAGGGGGUUAGCGUUGUUCGGAAUUACUGGGCGUAAAGCGCGCGUAGGCGGAUUGGAAAGUUGGGGGUGAAAUCCCAGGGCUCAACCCUGGAACUGCCCUCAAUACUGUCAGUCUAGAGUUCGGAAGAGGUAAGUGGAAUUCCUAGUGUAGAGGUGAAAUUCGUAGAUAUUAGGAAGAACACCAGUGGCGAAGGCGGCUUACUGGUCCGAUACUGACGCUGAGGUGCGAAAGCGUGGGGAGCAAACAGGAUAAGAUA
rnacentral:rRNA from 1 species